CCUACGGGUGGCUGCAGUGGGGAAUAUUGCACAAUGGGGGAAACCCUGAUGCAGCGACGCCGCGUGAGUGAAGAAGUAUCUCUGUAUGGAAAGCUCUAUCAGCAGGGGAGAAAAUGACGGUACCUGAAUAAUAAUCCCCGGCUAACUACGUUCCAGCAGCCGCGGUACUACGGAGGGGGCAAGCGUUAUCCGGAUUUACUGGGGGUAAAGGGAGCGUAGACGGCGCUGCAAGUCCGGAGUGAAAGCCCAUGGCUUAACCAUGGUACUGCUCUGGAAACUGUGGAGCUUGAGUGCGGGAGGGGCAGGCGGAAUUCCUAGUGUAGCGGUGAAAUGCGUAGAUAUUAGGAGGAACGCCGGCGGCGAAGGCGGCCUGCUGGACCGUAACUGACGUUGAGGCUCGAAAGCGUGGGGAGCAAACAGGAUUAGAUACCCAAGUAGUC
rnacentral:rRNA from 1 species